GGGCAAAGCAAUAUAAGUGCCGUUUAAAGAACAGACAGACCGCUAACACAAUCUGAGGAGGGGGAGAUAAAGGAUUCAUUCAACAAUGGAGAAGGAAAAGCAGAGUAUAUUAAUGCCCCAGAGCCAACCCUCCUCUCCUCCCUGGCAAUCUCUACAGAUGCAUGGAUUCACCACCGCCCUCGCGGGAUGGAAUGCCAAACCACUUCACUUUGGGAUGAACUUCUGUGAAGAACCCUUCACUUCCCAGAGUGACGCUUCCUUUGUCCCACGACAAGAUUCCAUGCAGCCUCCCAUCACAGAUGGCUGGAGCAGCUGAGACUUCCUGCCAGAGAGAGGGAACAGAAGGUCAAUGUUGCUUUGUCCUCGUGGAAAAAUAACAAAUCCCAAGAUAUGGCAUGUUAUGCUCUCAGAAGCAUCUAGACGUCUAGACUCAUUUUUCUUGAAAGGGUAUGAAAGGUCAUGACCACGAGGCAGACAGCUGACAGUCAUCUCAGAGUUUUCAGGAGCAAGUGACAAAGUUCAAAACACUACAUGCUGUGGGCUGGGAUGUGGGCGACUCUGGUGGAAGAGGGGCACAGACUGCCUGCAGACAUCGUGGCUGCUACAGCAAUACAACCCCAGUGGGAAAACCAGAAAGAUCUUAGAGAAC